UGGGGAAUAUUGCACAAUGGGGGAAACCCUGAUGCAGCGACGCCGCGUGAACGAAGAAGGUAUUCGUAUCGUAAAGUUCUGUCCUAUGGGAAGAUAAUGACAGUACCAUAGAAGAAAGCUCCGGCUAAAUACGUGCCAGCAGCCGCGGUAAUACGUAUGGAGCGAGCGUUGUCCGGAAUUAUUGGGCUGAAAGGGUACGCAGGCGGUUUAAUAAGUCGAAUGUUAAAGAUCGGGGCUCAACCCCGCAAAGCAUUGGAAACUGAUAAACUUGAGUAGUGGAGAGGAAAGUGGAAUUCCUAGUGUAGUGGUGAAAUACGUAGAUAUUAGGAGGAAUACCAGUAGCGAAGGCGACUUUCUGGACACAAACUGACGCUGAGGUACGAAAGCGUGGGGAGCAAACAGG
rnacentral:rRNA from 1 species